UGGGCCCGCGCGUGCGCGUGUGUCCCGGGGAGGGAAAACCUUGUCCCCUGUUCCCCGCCAGCCUUCCCUGCCCGGCCUCCAUCCCUCCCGCAGGCCCCCAGGAGGCUGAACAGCAAGGUUAAGUAAAUAUCUGACGGUGGCUCAAGGAAGCCAGUCAAGACCAUCGCGGGAGAGGAAACCCAGACCUCGAUCCGCCCCUAAGCUGGGCAGCCCCCACCGCGCAGGACUGCGGGGCCCCUCGGGCCUCACCCGGGGUCGGAGAUAGCCCGUCCCCUCCUACGCCCCCCGCCCCCCAGCCCGGUUCUGGGCGGGCACCAGGGUUACCGUAUUUCCUCUCUUGCGCCCUAGCUUUUGAGCGCAGCGUUUACUUCUCCAACCUGGAGAAGGAACGCAGUUUGGAGAUUUGAGACUCGGGUUGCAGGUGCUAAGGGGACAGAGGCUGCAAGAAAAGUUGCAGGCCCCAGAGCAGGUCUUCACCGAGCCAGGCACUCAGAAGAUACCUGUUGAAGGAAUGAGCUUGUCACACCUGCCCGGACCUUGCUUUCCUCACCCACACUUGGAACUGGGACCCAGGGAGGAUGUCUCCUCACCCAUUCACUGCGAGGCUCAUGGCCAUUUCCUGCGUUUCCCCUGCAUCCUUUGGGCCAUAGAGGAGAGACAGGGGCAGAGCCUGUCCCAGCCCCCAGGCGAUGAUGUAGACCUAUCUGACUGUGUUGGACCCAGCUCGCUCUCCAGGCCUUGGACAUCUGUCUCCCACGGCGACACAGUAGGACAGGGAUUCUCACUGCAGGUGACUGUGUCCCGCUCACCCCAGGACAUGUGGUGAUUCCUGGGGGUAUUUGUGGUUAUCACAACUGAGAAGGGGGUGCAUAAACGUGGCCCCGGCGUCGGGUGGUAGAGGUCAGGAAUGGGGCUAGGCGCCCUGUCGUGCAGAGUGCAGUCCCUUAAUAAAGAUUUGUCCAGCCUGAAUUCAGAUUCCUGCUUUAGAAGCCCGGAGCUGGGCCAUGGCUUUUCUUCCAUGGGCUGCAGAAAUGCCUGACAGCCCAGCUGUUCCUGAGCGCCCCACCUCGCAGUGCCCUCAGGGUCCUGGCCGUUCCUCAGGGUGGCUGGGAGGAGGGGCUUGGAGGAGCCACGUUCCAGCUGUGCCUGGCACUGCUGUCACUGGUACAUGACAGGGGGCACGUGCCCCUCCGCCCCUCGGUUCCUUAUCUGUAGAGUAGAAGUUAAUGGAACUCACUCGGGCUGUGGUGAGGACCAGCGGAAGUCACGGCUGCAGAGGUGACUACGACUGUGAGUGAGGGGGUAGGAGGUGUGGGGUGGGGAAUCUGCAGGCCUCAGCCCUCGGGUCCCUAAGAUGCAUCUGUGUCGUGGGAGAGGGGCCAACCUGCUGCUCCUCUCCUUUCUCCCUGAACUUCAAGAAAGGGAGGGACAAGGGGGAACUGCAGAGCCCCGGCUGAGGCCCAGAGCAGUGGGCGGACAGCGCAGAGUCCAGGAAGCCCUAGGGGCGAGCUGUGGGCUCCUUCCCACCCAGCCUGGGUGCCACCUCCCCAGACAGUAGCAAUUAUCAAAAUCAAACAGUUGACAUCAAUUACCGCGGUUGGAGAGGGGACCGGCUGCACGGGUGUCUCUGCUUUGCAUAUCUUAAUGGGGACUGACAGAUGCUGACCCACAGGGGCGCCGGCCUUCCCAGCUCUCAGCUGUUCAUGUGGCACCAAUUUUCAGAGCCAAAUGACUGCCAGGGCCCGAUGUGUGCAGGGUGGACCUAUGUCCCCAAGGCAGAGCUGUUUGUGCCUCCGGAGUGCUAGAGGACACCUGAGUGCCUGCUGGGAUGGCUGAGGGUACAUGGGGACCCUGGUCCUGGGAAGCACCUGCCUGGAGACACGUGUGUGUAUAGAUGGCGCUCCGGUGCAGCCUGCCCGCAGAUGCAAGGUCUCACCCUUGCGCCCAAGCCCCGGAGGUGUUGUGAAGGGUCACGCCAUGUACUGCAGGCUGGGCUUGAAUUCACUAUGUGUAUCCCAGGCUGGCCAAGUCUUGAUCCUCCUGUCUCAGCCUCCUGGGUGCCGGGAUUACAGGCCUAUGACACCAGGCCUGGCUGGACCAGGAGGCUCUGCAGAGGGAAGUCCAGAGAUGAAAAGCCAGGUUCCAGUCACAGCACAGUUGGGAUUGGAAUUGGGAUCUUCAAGCAGUGAGAUACCAGCUUCCAGGAACCCACUUGGCCCUUCUGCCCCGGCACAGUGCCACAGGGCCUCUCGGGUCCCCUCCUUGCCCCCAGGCCUUCCCUGAGCCUUGUGCCAGGUAGCACCUGGCUCCCCGGAGUCUCUCAGCCGGGGACCCUGCCAUCUGCAGCCAACUCCUCUCAUCCCCCACAGGAGAUGGGUGACUUUAAGAAGGCUCUUUCCAUCGUCCCCCCGGCAGAGUACAUCCCUGGUGCUUCCGUCACCCCUCACCCUGUCACCCCAACCCUGGCCCCUUGGAACAGGCCUACCUGUAACCUUGUGAAAACCUUUUCUGGAAGCAGCUCCUUCUUCCCUUCCCAGGGGAGGGUGGGCGUUUCCCAUAUUUGACGUAAAACCAGAUUGCACAGCGGAGCUGGUGUUGGUCAGUUCUGUGGGGUCAUCCCAAACCCGCACCUACUGGACACCGCUGCAUGCCCGGGCGGGGCUCCAUCCUGAGGAUGCCAGUCCGCUGGCGGAGUUGGACUCACUGUCAAGCCGCGGAACCAGCGGUCCCAGCCCUGCUUCCAGCCUGGGCGUCUCCAUCAGAAGCACAGCUCCUGUGAGGAAAUGCUGCGCAGGUUCUGGCUGUGCCUCUUUGGAGUCCUGACUCAGAUCUCGUGACCCUGAAUCCGGAUCCCAGGCUCAUCCUUUAAGCUUUCAGGCAUUGCUGUUGGUUUAUUAGGGUACUUAGUCCUGAGAUCCAGGAAGCUGGCACCGAGCCCUUACUUGGGACCAAGGGGCAGCAGGCAUCCUGUCCCCAGAUCCCGGGUGGCUGCAUUAGUCACUGUCCCUGCCUUGCAUAUCACGCGGCCCUGGCAGAUACAGCCUGAUGCUGAGGGAGGUGGGUGAGAUUUGGCUUCAAGGGUGGAGGUUAGGGGAGCCCCUGGUCCCAUGGUGCGCUGGCUGCUGUGCCUCGCCCGAUUGGUCAGUCCUGGCUGCCCCAGGGUGACGCUUCCCGUAGACUGAGGAGGGUGGAGAACGGGUGCCGUGUCAGCCAGGAUUCCUGGGGAUUCCUAGGGAUUAACAAUCAGACACAAGCAGCCCUGUUUUCCCCUCCGCCCUCUUCUCCACCCAGCCCCGAGAAAAAGAAAAAUCCGUUGGAAACGAAUCCCCCCCGCCACCCGCUUCUCCUCCUGCUCUCACCAAUUUAAAAGAAAAAUAAAAUACAUUCCAGGAACCAGGACGGCUGCAGAGCAACUCAAACCAGAAAAUGCUUAAAGAUGUUUUAAUGACUUAAACACAGGGGCUGGUUUGUGCCUAAGUUUCCACAUUAAAAGA